UACAGAGGUCCCGAGCGUUGUUCGGAUUCACUGGGCGUAAAGGGUGCGUAGGUGGUGCGGUAAGUCGGAUGUGAAAUCUCCGGGCUCAACCCGGAAAUGGCAUUGGAAACUACCUUGCUGGAGGAUUUGAGGGGGGAUUGGAAUACUUGGUGUAGCAGUGAAAUGCGUAGAUAUCAGGAGGAACACCGGUGGCGAAGGCGGGUCUCUGGGCCGAUACUGACGCUGAGGAGCGAAAGCGUGGGGAGCGAACAGG
rnacentral:rRNA from 1 species